rnacentral:RNase_MRP_RNA from 1 species
GGUGGCAACGGUUGUUUUCUUUGGCUUUGAGGCGUUGAUUCUGCGGUGGGCUUGCCGCCCUUCAAGAGAGGUGCUGUCAAGAGAUGCGGCGUA